GGGAGGGGCGCGGGGGAUGACAAUGCCUCAAAUCUGCCGCUUUUGUCGGGGUGUUACCAGGCAGACUGGUGCCUGCAGAUUUCAUCUCGCCUUUCUGUUUUUUUUAAGUCCUUAAAAGGAAAAAAUUUAAAAAAGAAAAAAAACCUUGCUUGCUGAUAGGACGCUGCGAUUUGUGAAAUGCACCUUUGAAGAAUCUAAAGAAUUUUCUUUUGCAUUCCUUUUUGUUGGCACCUUUCUAUUUUCUCUUUACGUUUAAUUUGGAGUUUAUGAGAAUGUUGCUUUUAAGCCAGAAUUUAAAGUAAGAACGUGCAGCACUGGCUUUAAGCCUGUAAAAAGCCGAAGCACAGGCCCCUCCAGCUGACACGCCCGCCCCCGAGCGCCGCGCGAGGCCUCCUGCGCACUCGACGCCUCGACCCCACCGUGCUGGAAGGUCGGAGCCAACCUCCCCGCCAGUGGCCGAGCGCUGCGGGGCGCCGGGCGCGCGAGCAGAUUGCGGCCGGCGCACGCGGCUCGUUUGCAUUUCUAUGGAGGACGCACAAUAGUGGAGGCCCGGCGUGUGGCAGUUUGCAGGAGGGACAAUCGAGGCUUUCUCUUCAUAGCGACACUGUCCACCUGCCGCCGGGUGGGGUGGGCAGGGCCCUGCCGCGCGUGAGGAUCGGGGCCGCGUGCCGCUCCUGCGCCCCUCGGUGCGCGCCCCCUGCACCGGCCCCGCUGCCGUCGCGGCACGUUUGCAUGUAAUUCCGCCCCACCCGGUCCUCGCACGCGUGCAGAGCAGCCGCGCGAGGUGGAAAGAACAUGGUGCUGCUGCACCGUCUACGCAGCCAGGUACACUCCGCCGAGACCCCGCGGCUACUGUCCCCGGGAGCUUGGGAACACCGCUCAGAAUCGCUUUCCAGGGGCGCCAUCUACAGGCCGGCCAGAAGAUCCUGACCUCCCGCUGCCCCCUCACUUCCACUGGCCUCUACGGCUUGGCCUCCGGCCCUCUGGUCAACGAGCGGCCCCUGCAGGGUGCGCUGAGCCCCGUCGAAGCGGCGCAUUAGUGACAGUCCGAAUAAGGGCUGCAAAAACCACUCAGAGAGGGGGCAGGGGAGAAAGGAGACUCCGACCCAGUACUAAAGGAGAAGAGUCCAUAUUUCUUCUGCUAUUUUGACAUUUUUAAUUACUUAAAUAUGCACAUAUAAAAAGCUUGUUUUCCAGCAAUAGGGUAAUGAAACUGGAAGAGAUCUUGAAAGAGUUUAAUAGAGGUUGCUGUGAUGUGACCAUCUUGGACCUACAAGUCGGCGCUUUCAGACGGUUCCCCACUGAGCGCAUCCCUUUGGUGUCGGCAUCUCUCUGCACUACAGUGAAACAUGUGCUGGGGUGCGCUUCACUGGCCCCCCUUUUCCAAGUGAGGUCUUGGAGACUGGGCAGACCGUGGGACGGCCCCGGGGAUUCGCCGGAAGCCCAGGCUCGGCUGCAGGACUGGGCGGUGAUGGGUAAGAAAACAGCCGGGUGGAUUUGGUCUUCCCAUUCAGGCCUACUUCGGUGGGUGGGGGACAUACACGUCUUUCUGGGCUCCUCCAAGGGAAGUGUUUGUUCUGCACUUGGAGGCAGACGCACUUGCCGGCACAGGGCCGAGCGCGGGAGCGCCGUCGUGCGCCCCCCGGUGGCGCGGGCCGAGGACGGCUGCGGCAGGCGGCGCCACCUGAUUCCGAGAUGCGGGUUUGCUCGCCUGACAUCCCUGAAAUCCAGGCGUCUUACAGCCGGGGGCGGGGGCGGCGUUUGUUGGUUACUGUUUCCUUUCUUGCUUGCUGGCUGGUAUAUAAAAUGAUGGUGUGCCUUGACUGGGUACGAUAUGUUUAUUUUUAAGUGAUUGAGACUUAGGUAUUGCUCUUUUUUAAAGCAUUAAACAUUUCCUAAAACGUAUUAGUUCCAGGUCUCCAGGAAACGUUGCAAAUAAUACUUAGUUGACGUCUUAGGGCUUUCUGCCCGCCCCCCAUUUAUGACGCUAGAAAUCGGCCCUCAGCCCCUCCUCCCAGAAGAAGGCCACGGACAGGCCUGACUGCGCGGGUUGGGGGGGGGGGGGGCGGGCAGGGCGCGGCGAUCCCAGUUGGCACCAGGCCACUCUGAAGGAAGAGGGCUGAUUGAAAGCCCCCUGGGGCGAUUCUACUUGCCGCCGUUUUUGAGAGCAGGUACACACGACGGGUAACUAGCAGGUUCAUUCCCCGUGUGAGGACGGCCACCAGAGGCUGCAGGGCGGGCCCGCAGCACAGAGUCCCUGCUGCCUGCAGGCCGAGUCCUUCGCUAUGUGGACAUCUCAGGAGAAGUCAAAGCCACUGCCACCUUUCCAAUGGGCAGCUUUCACGUCUCCCCAAAAAUCUGGAUUUCCAGCUUCUCUUGGAAAGUGGGAAGAUUUGGCCACUGUGUGCCUGUGGUCUCCCCCUCACCACGCUAACCCUCAGUGAGGGGGCACCAGGACCCCCAGACUGGGCCCUGCUCUCCGGUUCACCGCAGUCCCUGCCAGGCCCAUUUGAGCCACUGAACCCAGUGUCUUCCUUCCUUUAGGUCACCUGCCUGUCCCCUGUGGCCCUUUGCAUUUGCAAUCUUUGAAAAGAAACUGAAGUUUGAAAAGCAAAAUAAAGGGGCCAGGCUCUUAAAAGAUGAA